CCUGCACGAAGUCGGAAUUGCUAGUAAUCGUAGGUCAGCAUACUACGGUGAAUACGUUCCCGGGCCUUGUACACACCGCCCGUCAAACCAUGAGAGUUGGCAACACCCGAAGUCGGUAGUCUAACCGCAAGGAGGACGCCGCCGAAGGUGGGGUUGAUGAUUAGGGUUAAGUCGUAACAAGGUAUC
rnacentral:rRNA from 1 species